CCUACGGGAGGCAGCAGUGGGGAAUAUUGCGCAAUGGGCGAAAGCCUGACGCAGCGACGCCGCGUGAGGGAUGAAGGUCUUCGGAUCGUAAACCUCUGUCAGCAGGGAAGAAAGGUCACUGUGCUAAUCAGCAGUGAAUUGACGGUACCUGCAAAGGAAGCACCGGCUAACUCCGUGCCAGCAGCCGCGGUAAUACGGAGGGUGCGAGCGUUAAUCGGAAUUACUGGGCGUAAAGCGCUCGUAGGCGGUAUGUCAAGUCAAGGGUGAAAUCCCCGCGCUCAACGUGGGAACUGCCUUUGAAACUGGCAAACUGGAGUGUGUGAGAGGAUAGUGGAAUUCCAGGUGUAGGAGUGAAAUGCGUAGAUAUCAGGAGGAACAGCGGUGGCGAAGGCGACUAUCUGGCACAUAACUGACGCUGAGGAGCGAAAGCGUGGGUAGCAAACAGGAUUAGAUACCCUGGUAGUC
rnacentral:rRNA from 1 species